GCGCCUCUAGCUCAGCUGGUAGAGCAGUAGACUCUUAAUCUAUUUGUCCAGGGUUCGAGUCCCUGGAGGCGCA
rnacentral:tRNA from 3 species